rnacentral:rRNA from 1 species
AUGCCGCCGCCCACGCCCCCACUCCUCCUCUUCCUCACCCUCCUCCCGCUCGCCGCCGCCCACGCACACACAACCCGCCGGCUCCUCCAGACCCAGCCCACCAUCUCCCCUGCUCCACCCCCACCUCCGCACCGUCACCACCACCACACCCCGCCGNNNNNNNNNNNNNNNNNNNNNNNNNNNNNNNNNNNNNNNNNNNNNNNNNNNNNNNNNNNNNNNNCCCGCGGCCGAGCCCCCAACCCGUCUCCCCCCAAACGCAGGCCGCCGCCGCCACCACCACAAAACCAAGCCUGGAACCCCUUCGUGCCCGUCCCGCCGACACAAGCUGCUUUCCCCUCCGACGACGACGGUGACUCCUCCUCCACCAUUGCGGCGGCGAUGCACAAGUCCCGGCCGCUGCACUCCGACAAACUCAAGCCCGGAUCUCUGCACAUGAAGGACGAGAUGAUCCAGCUCUACCUGAACAACUCCGCCGCAGCCGCGGCAUCGGCGGCGAGGGAGGUGUGCCUGCUCGGCGCGCCGCGGUGCCACGGCAUUGGCACGGUGCUGGGUGCACUGGGUUUCUCCGAGGAGCAAGUGCGUGAUGCGCUCUUGGAAGGCAAUGCACAUGGUUUGGGAGUGGAAGCCCUGCGGAUGCUCGCUCAGUUGGUUCUCACCAAUGAGGAAGAGCUUAAGCUCAGAUAUUUCAAGGAUGACCCACCUGCCAAGCUUUGCGCGGUCGAUGCUUUUCUGAAGACGAUACUGGAUGUGCCAUUUGCAUUCAAGAGAGUGGAUGCUAUGCUCUAUGUUUCCAACUUUUAUCUGGAGGUCAAUCAGCUGAGGAUGUCCUACGCUACUCUCGAGGCAGCUUGCGAGGAGCUGAGGAGCAGCAGGCUAUUCCACAAGGUUCUUGGGGCCGUCCUCAACUUUGGCAACAUGAUGAGCAUCAACACAGGCUCUCCAAGCUCACAUGCCCUGGAGCCCAACACGCUCCUGAAGAUAGUCGACGUCAAAGGCGCCGACGGCAAGGCGGCGCUCCUGCAGUUCGUCGUCCAGGAAAUCAUGAAACCGGAAGGACACAGCAAUCUGAACCCAGCAUGCAAGACGGACGCGAGCACAAGUCCGCCGUGCGACGUCGACUGCCGGAAGCACGGCCUCCAGGUGGUCUCGAAGCUCGCCGCCGAGCUGACCAGCACCAAGAAGGCGGCGUCGGUCGACAUGACGGGCCUCAGCCGGAGCGUGUCGGAGCUCGGCGUCGGCCUCGGGAAGGUCCACGACGUGCUGAGGCUCAACGGCAUGGCGGCCUCGGCCGAGAGCGCCCGGCGGUUCCACAACGCGAUGAGCGCAUUCCUGCGGCAGGCCGAGGAGGAGAUCGUCAGGCUCCAGGGGCAGGAGAGCGUGUGCCUGUCGUCGGUGAGGGAGGUGGCGGAGUACUUCCACGGCGGAGACGAGGUGGGCGACGGCGAGGCUCGCUUGUUCAGGGUCUUCGCGGGCGUCAGGGAGUUCGUGGCCAUGCUCGACCGGAUCUGCAGGGAGGCCGGGGAGGUCCAGGGCGACCGCGUCGGCUCGACGCCGGUGAGCUGGGUGGCUGCUGGCGCGCCGCCCAUGGGGACGACGCCCUGA